GAUCAGUGGCUCAGAACGACGCUGGCGGCGUGCCUAACACAUGCAAGUCGAACGAGAAUCCGGGCUUCGGUCCGGUAGUAAAGUGGCGCACGGGUGAGUAACACGUGGGUAACGUGCAUUGUAGUGGGGGAUAACCAGGUGAAAGCUUGGCUAAUACCGCAUGAGUCCGUCGGGACGCAGGUCCUGACGGGGAAAGUGGAGCAAUCCACGCUACGAGAUCGGCCCGCGGCCCAUUAGCUAGUUGGUGAGGUAAUGGCUCACCAAGGCUACGAUGGGUAGCUGGUCUGAGAGGAUGAUCAGCCACACUGGAACUGAGACACGGUCCAGACUCCUACGGGAGGCAGCAGUGGGAAUUUGCGCAAUGGGCGAAAGCCUGACGCAGCAACGCCGCGUGUGUGACGAAGGCCCUUGGGUUGUAAAGCACUGUGGGCAGGGAAGAAAAACGGGGGUUGUACCCCGUCUUGACGGUACCUGUUUAGAAAGCACCGGCUAACUCCGUG
rnacentral:rRNA from 1 species